rnacentral:rRNA from 1 species
UACAGAGGUGGCAAGCGUUGUUCGGAAUUACUGGGCGUAAAGGGCGCGUAGGCGGUCCGAUAAGUCCCGUGUGAAAUCCCUCGGCUCAACUGAGGAACCGCACGGGAAACUGCCGGGCUUGAGUUCGGGAGAGGGAAGCGGAAUUCCGGGUGUAGCGGUGAAAUGCGUAGAUAUCUGGAGGAACACCGGUGGCGAAGGCGGCGUUCUGGACUGCAACUGACACUGAUGAACGAAAGCCAGGGGAGCAAACGGG